rfam:Schistosoma mattheei strain Denwood, Zambia genome assembly, scaffold: SMTD_contig0004684
AUCCAACUGACGAGUCCUAAACAGGACGAAACGCGCGUCCUGGAU